UACGUAGGGGGCAAGCGUUAUCCGGAUUCAUUGGGCGUAAAGAGCGCGUAGGCGGCUUGUUAAGUCAGAUGUGAAAACCGGGGGCUUAACCCGCGGCCUGCAUCUGAAACUGGCAGGCUUGAGUCUGGUAGAGGAGUGUGGAAUUCCCAGUGUAGCGGUGAAAUGCGCAGAUAUUGGGAGGAACACCAGUGGCGAAGGCGGCACUCUGGGCCACGACUGACGCUGAGGCGCGAAAGCUAGGGGAGCAAACAGG
rnacentral:rRNA from 1 species